GCGCAGGAAAAGAAACCAACAGGGAUUGCCCUAGUAACGGCGAGUGAAGCGGCAACAGCUCAAAUUUGAAAUCUGGCCCUUUCAGGGUCCGAGUUGUAAUUUGUAGAGGGUGCUUUGUCGUUGGCUGUGGUCUAAGUUCCUUGGAACAGGACGUCGCAGAGGGUGAGAAUCCCGUAUGUGGCCGCCAGUCUUCGCCGUGUAAAGCCCCUUCGACGAGUCGAGUUGUUUGGGAAUGCAGCUCUAAAUGGGAGGUAAAUUUCUUCUAAAGCUAAAUAUUGGCCAGAGACCGAUAGCGCACAAGUAGAGUGAUCGAAAGAUGAAAAGCACUUUGGAAAGAGAGUCAAAAAGCACGUGAAAUUGUUGAAAGGGAUUCGCUUGCAGCCAGACUUGCCUGUAGUUGCUCAUCCGGGCUUUUGCCCGGUGCAUUCUUCUAUGGGCGGGCCAGCAUCCUUCAGACCAGCGGUUGGAUGAUGUUGUUGGAUGUCCCUUCUUCGAGGAAGGAUUAUGCUUCCGGCGGGAUAAAACAGGCGGGAUGUAGUGCAUGCAUCCGCUAGGAGACGUGCUGUUUGAAGAAAUCGGCCCGUCUUGAAACACGGACCACGGAGUCUAACAUCUAUGCGAGUGUUGAGUGGCAAGAUUAGAAUGUAGAGCUGUUGACCUUCGCUCGCCGCUACUAGGGCAACCCUGUAGGUUUCUUGACGUGCGCUGAAUCACUAGAGAUCCCGGCUACAGAGCUCGAAUCUUGAUCGUGCUCAUAGUUUAUCCUGUGUGAAUGGAACCCCCUCAGGA
rnacentral:rRNA from 1 species